GCCGGCUCCGAGGGCCUGCUCGCCCCGCCCGUCCCCUGGGCCUCCCAGCGCCUAGAAACUCAGUCUGCAGUGUCACCGGGGUCUUUGUUCUCGCGUCCAAGCAGAACAUUUAAAUGCUGUUUAUAAAUAAGGUGAAAAUGACUCACAAUAAGUCAUUCACUCCUCUUGUAGUGGAAAUGGGAACUUUUUGCAAGAUCAAACUUUACUCCUAAUCAAGGGGUAUUUUAUUGGUUGAUGAAAGACAUGCAGACCGUC
rnacentral:lncRNA from 1 species